UUUGCAUAGUAGCCGGUAUUGUAGUAUAAUGUGCAUUGUGCCAUUAGGGGCACACCGCUCACCGUGCGUACAGAUAACGUACAGACUGAUCGAUGGUAACGCUGUUUUCAUCUUUUAAUUGGCAAUGAAAUGUACCUUGCAAUGUUGUUGUGGGGCUUCUCCGCUGAAUCCUCCGAAUCUUAUUUUUUUACCGAAUAAAUCGUCUCUAAUGCAAAAUAACAUUGGAAAAAGGAUUGAGUUCCCGAUGUAUGAUAACGAAUUGGUGUGAAGUGAACCAAUUAAACACCACCACCACAGCUAUCACCUAAACAUUACUACUUAUUUGGAAGAAUUACAGAUAAAUAUUUUCUUAUUUUAAAAUUAAGUAUAUUUGUAUUUAUAUUACUUUGAAGUCUUAAAUAUUAACAUCCUCCGUUAUAUAUUUUAUACAAGAUUUGUAGAUAAAACCUAACCGGAACAUGUCUGGAACCCCCAAGUAAAAAGGUAAGUAAUUUGUGGGGGUUUUUGGUAAGUAAUCUAUUUAAAAAAAUCUUUAAUCUCAACAUCGUGUUUAAAGUCACUUUGGUUCACAUUUAGUCCGUGUACGAAAUGGUAAUGUAUUUUGGUGACCCUUUUGGUAAGUACCUACCUAAACUUUUUCAAAUGUAUACUUGUAUUAUACAUACUUACCUAAUAUACCUAUUACAUUCAUAAGUGUUUCAAAUAUAUAUGCUGCGACACCUGAAUAUUGCACAGUUGCAAAAAAAAUAUCAGGAAAUAGGUAUUGAAGUAGGUACUACCUCACGAUUCAGCCAUGACCUGCGCUAACAAGAAUGAAUGAAAUACGAGAUCUAAGCUGCAUGCUGAGAAAUACGUUAUACCAGCGAAUAUUUUUUAAACACUCUGAAAUACUUAGAUAUAGUUAUUUUUCUUAAUCAACGACUAGUAAGUACCUUCUCAUUGGAAAGUUCAUAACUUUUAUACUUUCACAAUUUUACUUUCUUUGAUCGAUUUUUUUAUACUCUUUUCUAUCUAAAUUCAAUGGCUAUAAUGCCCGCAAAAAGUUGAUAAAAUGAGUACUGGUUAAGUAUACUUAACUACUUUUCUGUAUUUUCUAAAUACCAUUAAAAUAGAUUUCCGAUUUAGAUUUUUAUCCUUAUUAUUUCAGAUAAUAGGAAGCUCAAAAUCUAGACGAACACAGAACCAUAUAGGAAUAAGAAUCGAAUAAGAAAUGUCACGAUGUGAAUUCAUAUUAAACUCUUUUAGGCAUCCUAGUUUACGGUAAGUAGAUAGAUGCCUAUCUAUAUAUAUAUCCUGUCUAGUUACCUAGGUAUGUGCUUUUUACUAUUAGGUGUUAUCUCCUGGGUUAUAAACGCGGAACAAGCGAAAUUUAUAAAAUCUAAUUUAUAUUGUUUUUCCUUUUUGUAAUUUCGAAUAAGAUUAAGCUUAGAUACUUACUUAAAUCUCCAUUCUGAAGCGGAACUCCCUUAUUCCUAAUCCAGGUUGACCGGCAGUUCGUUAGGUUAUCAGUUGUUUACGAAAACCUGUUUAUGUCUAGACUAAAUCUCAGAUAAUUAACUUGAAAUAAUCCGGUUGUCUGAGCGACGUAUAUUAAGCGUUUUAAGUUAUAUUACGUAACUUGAAGUAAUUAUGAUAAUUAAUUGUAAACUUAUUAUAUUUUUUUAUGCUUCAAUUGUGUCCCGUAAAACGAAUGUAGGUACUUAUAAAACUUCGAUGUCGGCAACUUUUUCCAAUUGCCUUCGUUUACGAUUUACGAGUUUCGAGAAAGCCUAGGGUAGUUAUUGUUGGCAACACCAACACAGAAUUUAAAAAAUAUAAUCUUACUUAGUUUUUGUUUGACGUGUCUACUUGGUCUGUGCCUGUCUGUCUGUACUCUGUAUUGCUCCGCGUCUUACCGCAAUUAAAAGUGUUCUUUCAACCCCUGAUGCAAUAUCGUCCCUUAGCUUACAACACCGCUCAAGUCGAAAAUUGGCGGUUUUUACAUUUCAUUGGAUGAAGAAGAAAAUAAAGGUUAAAAUAAAGUAAAUCGUCAAAAUAAGUACUUAUAAAUAAUUAUUUAUUAACCACUAACUAGAGUAUGUAUUAAGUAGCAAUAAAAAAAUCUACAGAUAUUUUAAAUAAGACAUUUUUUUUCGUCUCCUGUAAAGUUGGUAAAAAUGACUUAAGCGGUGUUGUAAGCUAAGGGACGA